rnacentral:rRNA from 1 species
AAAAUCAAUUUAAUUUGAACUUUUCUGUUUAAUUAGUUUUUUAGUAGUUAAGUUUUACUCAAAGAAUUGAAUACUUAUUAUCGUGAGAGAAAAGAUAGGUUUAUUUAUAGAGAAUAGUAUAGUGAUAGAAAAUUGAAGAGUGAGUAAAAGAAGGCUUUAUUUUCCGUACCUUGUGUAUCAGGGUUUACUAAAAAAAGUUAACUAUUUAGUUUUCUCGAAUUAUGAAGAGCUAUAGAUUUAUGUUUAUUAAUGUAGCAUAAUUACUAUUAAUAAGUCUAUAGAAAUGAAACGUUAUUCGUUUCAUAAUAUAUCUAGUUUCUCAAGAAAUUGAUUUAAUUUAAUGUCUAUAGAUAAUUGGUAUGAUUUUUCAUUUCAAUUUUGAUAGAUUGAUAUAAUCUAAGGGAUGAGCUUUGGAUUAAAUGCUUAAAAUUCAUUUGUAAGUAAUAAUAAGUAGGAUUAGAAUUUUCCAUCUUUUAGAGGAUGUUAUAAUUUAUUAUUUAAUAUGAUUUAUUUUAUAAGAAUUUAAGUUGUAUAUUGAGGUAUAUUUUUUAAUUUAAAAUAAUUAGAAAUAAUGGUAGGAUUAGUAAAGGUAAGUUGUUGUAGUUAGAAAAAAGAAAGGUUUAAAUAAGGAAUUCGGCAAAUGAGUUCUCACCUGUUUAUUAAAAACAUGUCCUUUUGUAAAUUGUUUAAGGUCUGGCCUGCUCCAUGAAAGUUAAAUAGCCGCAGUAUUCUGACUGUGCAAAGGUAGCAUAAUCAUUAGUUUUUUAAUUGGAAGCUGGAAUGAAUGGUCGGAUGAGGAAUUGACUGUCUCAUUUAAAUUUUAAUUGAAUUUUAUUUUUAAGUAAAAAAGCUUAAAUAUAAUAGAAAGACGAGAAGACCCUAUAGAGUUUGAUAGAUGAAUAUUGUAGUGAAUUUUAGGGUUUAAUUAUUUUUACAUUUAAGUCUAUUUUGUUGGGGUGACAUUAGAAUUGAAUGAACUUCUUUAUAUUUAAACACUGAUUAGUGAAUAAAUGAUCCUUUGAUAGAGAUUAAAAGAUUAAAUUACCUUAGGGAUAACAGCGUAAUUUUUUCAUAGAGUUCUUAUCGAUGAAAAAGGUUGCGACCUCGAUGUUGGAUUAAAGUAAAUUUCUGGUGCAGAAGCUAGGGUAUUAAGUCUGUUCGACUUUUAAAACUUUACAUGAUCUGAGUUUAAAUCGGCGUGAGCCAGGUUGGUUUCUAUCUUCUAUAGUUAAAAUAUUUUAGUACGAAAGGACCGAAUAUUUGGAUAAUAUUUUUAUUUUGAAUAAGAUU